rnacentral:rRNA from 1 species
AUACCGCGUGGGUGAAGAAGGCCUUCGGGUUGUAAAGCCCUUUUGUUGGGAAAGAAAUCCAGCCGGCUAAUACCUGGUUGGGAUGACGGUACCCAAAGAAUAAGCACCGGCUAACUUCGUGCCAGCAGCCGCGGUAAUACGAAGGGUGCAAGCGUUACUCGGAAUUACUGGGCGUAAAGCGUGCGUAGGUGGUCGUUUAAGUCCGUUGUGAAAGCCCU